ACUCCUACGGGAGGCAGCAGUGGGUAAUAUUGGACAAUGGGCGAAAGCCUGAUCCAGCCAUGCCGCGUGUGUGAAGAAGGUCUUCGGAUUGUAAAGCACUUUAAGUUGGGAGGAAGGGCAGUAAGUUAAUACCUUGCUGUUUGACGUA
rnacentral:rRNA from 1 species